rnacentral:lncRNA from 1 species
GGGGAGGGUAGAAAGGACUGCCAAGCAGGGAGGGUAGAAAGGACUGCCAAGCAGAGAAAGAAACAUGAAUCAGAACCAGCUAAUACAGGAUGGGAGAGUACAUGUGCCAUUAUCAAACACACAGAGGAGUGAAUAAGAAGCAAAGGAUAUUGCCACGGUUUCUACGGGACUGAACAAAGGGGGACCCACACAGGAAUGAAAACUUAAAACAAAACAGCCACUAAGGAAGGCGCAGAGGGACUUCCUUUCGGCCCGAAACAGUAUCUGUGCUGCCAAAAAAGGCUGUCACUUCACACUUGGAAGAUUGCACAGCGGCCAGGCAGAGGCGCUCCUCACUUCCCAGACGGGGUGGCGGCGGGGCAGAGGCGCUCCUCGCAUCCCAGACGGGGCAGCCGGG